AGACAAUAUCAGCGCCCCUGACCCCCUCUUUGCCUCCUUCAGCUCCUUUAGCUACCACUGCCACCUUCAACUACACCCUAAAGAAAGCCACAUCUAUCACAGGAGCUUUUAUGGUCCUCACUGGCAGCAGGAGCUAAAUAAAACUUGACUUUGAGGUCUGAGGUAUCGCAGGUUACAAAAUGUUGUUCUGGGCAUGAAUGUGACUGAACUAGCUCUGCUGUAUGCUGCUACUUCACUGUGGUACACAAGAGUAAUGAGAAUAGGUUUAAUGGUGUAAAAAAAACAUGGGUAGAGUAAAACCACCACACAGGGGUACUUUAAGAUGCUCUCACCUGCUUUGCUGCUGUUGACUGUAAAGGACAUGAGCUGGUUUCACUUUUUUAUUUCAGAGAUGGUUGAUGCCUAGUUGCUUCUCAGGCUGGUCCUACAUUAGCCCCUGACUGACUGUCCAGAUCAGCUUAAUAUGGAAACUCAUGUCUCUGCCACAAUGUCAAUGGGCUGUGCAGGAUUGAUUUAACAUAACACGUGUAAUCAGGUCGCUAUCGAGAACAUUGGAAAUAUCAUUAAAAGAGUCAUAGUCUGAAGAAAAAGGGACAUGGCUGAAAACAAGUGCUGAGAAGCUGUAAUGUUCAGGGCCUGCAUUUAUAAACAGACAUGACUCUGAAGUGGAAAUCUUUGCAUAGGCUUAAAAUAACUUCUGAAAACCGUUCUCUAUGAACACAGUUUGUUACUCCAUCCAAAAAUUCUGCUUUAAAACUGAACCAUGCAAAAAGGACAGUUUGUUCUGUAUAAACAUGAUCAGAAAUCUGGGAAAGUUCCAUCUAAGGUAAAAAGACGAAGUACUUUUAUGAAUACUUUUAAAACAUGUCCAUAUGGGACUCAAUUAACACAAUCAUGUGUGUGAAAACAUCUAGAAAUACUAUUAUUACAAAGGCUGAUGAUGGACUGAGGUUAAGUUGACAACUGUCCUGUACUAGUCUGACAAAUGAUAAUUUGACUAUCUUCUCGAAAAACAUGGACACUGUAUCCUCAGCUGUAAUGAUAAGUUUACAGUGUGUUGUUAAGAGAAGAGGAGAUGCCACAUGAUAGUAAAUAUUCCACUUCAGCAACUUUUUUGAAUUGAGAAGCUGGCAUCAAAUUUAGAAUUAGCAUGCAUUUUUAUUUAUCUUAUAUUUUUUAAAUUACAACAUUAUAUUGUCAUUGAACGAUCCUCGAUUAAAUAUAGGGUUUGAAUAUUUACAUCCAUCAUCUUUUUUUCAUCAACAUUUUAAACAGAAUCCCAACGUUUUUGGAAAUCAGGUUGUACACAAGUUUGUGAGCAAAAGUAGAUAGUCCUAUUUAAAAAGCCUUACUCUGCAGCUUCUAUGACAGUUUCUAAUCGUAAACUCAGAACUUAUGAAACACAGAAAACAGUGUGUGCCCUUUUUUAUUCUUAUAUCAAGAUAUUUUUAUGAUUUUAUUUUAUCAGGAUUAAUAAAAAAAGAAUAGAAGAACUUAAAUAAAAGCAGUAAUCACGCCACCAUACUAGGAAAUUGGGUAGCAGCCCCUCUUGCAUCUAAAGUGGCAGAACACACAUUUCCUCAGUGCGAGGGCUCCUGUGAAAUCGUGUCAUUACCACAGAAAAGUAGUGGCCUUUGACUCUGUGCAGAAGACAUCAUCCGCUUACAAGCUCCAACAAUAAAACUCAUGGUUGCUGUUGUAAGCCCCACUUUGUUACACAUACAUCCAAGUGAAAACAUUUAUUGCACUAAUUACAACAGCCUGCCAUUGGAUUUUCUUCCUGUGUUACACAUGCUUUGGCACAGUUCCCAGCAUUGUGCCCAACCGUCUCUCCACUCUUGACUGGUGCGCUAAAGGACAUGCAUGAGGUGAAAAAAGGAGGCGAGAAUGGGGGCAAAGGAGGGAAAUACUGCUAGAAAGUUAAAUCCUAUAGAGGAGUAAAUAACACGUGUCUGUUUAAAUUGUAAAUUACAUCAGAAAUCAAAUAUUGUUUCAAAGAUUAGAUGGUUCAGACAUGACUUGUUUGUUUUAAUAAGACACUGAGGCCUGUUCCCAGCAUUACUCUGGAUGUAAAACCCUAACUAAAACAAUUUGAGUCAUUUUUUUUAUUUUAUUAGGCCCCCAUUAUGUUCUUCACACUGAUAUCAUAUCACAACUGACAGAAGUGUGACAGUAGUGUUAAACUCUGAUGAUGCUAUGUUAUCUGCUAACACUGCAGGCUUGAGGGUAAUCCUUGACUUCCUGUAAUUUAUGUGAGUUUAGUGACGUGACUGCAUCAUCUUUAUAACUUGCUAAAUAUCAGAAUCAGAUUCUCUUUAUUGUCCCAAAAGGGAAGUUAUUGUUGCAGCAGGAGCACACAGAGCAACAAACAUCAGCUGCAUGUCACCACAAGAGCAGUGCCAUCACCAUCAGUCAACACUAAAAAGUUCACUGAUUCUAGAGUGGGAGUGAUGUAUCCAAGGGAAAAUUGGAGUGCACAAUAUGAAAUUUUAGAAGCUUGCAAAGUUCAUCAAAACUGGUGUCCUGAUACAGACCAGUUGAGCCUGAUUGAUGAAGCAUUCUGAUGAUCCCUGGCUUAGGAGGCCAGUUCCUUAUCCAUCAGGCCACUGGGGCUCAACAUAGAUGCUCUGUCCACAUUCAGUAAGUUACACUACAGAGCAUCAAUGCAGGGAGAUAAAUGACUGGGUUCAAAAUGAGAGAUGGUAGGUAGAAGCAUUGGAGAACCCUGGCACCUGAGGUUGGAGGUUGAAGUUGCCUUUGUCAACUUGAAAGUGUUGCUGGACUUGUUUGCAUCAACAGUGGUGUUCACUGUGAGAGAGAGCAAAGGAAUAGAGAGCUAGCAGAGGGUGGUUUCGAGCCAUUGACCCCUGGGUUAUGGGCCCAACAUGCUUCCACUGGAGCACUCUGAUGUUUAUCACCCCAGAUGGGACUCGAACCCACAAUCCCUGGCUUAGGAGGCCAGUGCCUUAUCCAUUAGGCCACUGGGGCUUAACAAAGGAGCUAACCCGCUCCGUCCACAUUCAGUGAGUUAAACUACAGAGCAUCACUGACUGGGUUCAAAAUGAGAGCUGGUAGGCAGAAGCCUUGGAGAACCUUAGAAUCUGAUGUUCUGGUUUGACAUUUCCUCUGUCAACUUAAAAGUGUUGCUGGACUUGUUUUCAUCAACAGUGGUGUUCACUGUGAGAGAGAGAGAGAGACCUAGCAGAGGAUGGUUUUGAGCCAUUGACCUCUGGGUUAUGGGCCAAACAUGCUUCCACUGCACCACUCUAAGUUAAUCACCCCAGAUGGGACUCGAACCCACAAUCCCUGGCUUAGGAGGCCAGUGCCUUAUCCAUUAGGCCACUGGGGCUGGACCUAAGUGCUCACCUGCUCCGUCCACAUUCAGUGAGUUAAACUACAGAGCAUCACUGACUGCGUUCAAAAUGAGAGAUGGUAGGUAGAAGCCUUGGAGAACCUUGGCAUCUGAUGUUCUGGUUUGACAUGUCUUCUGUCAACUUAAAAGUGUUGCUGGACUUGUUUGCAUCAACAGUGGUGUUUACGGUGAGAGAGAGAGAGCAAAGGAAGAGAGAACUAGCAGAGGAUGGUUUUGAGCCAUUGACCUCUAGGUUAUGGGCCCGGCAUGCUUCCACUGGACGACUCUGCUGUUUAUCACCCCAGAUGGGACUUGAACCCACAAUCCCUGGCUUAGGAGGCCAGUGCCUUAUCCAUUAGGCCACUGGGGCUGGACAUAGGAGCUCACCUGCUCUGUCCUAAUUCAGUGAGUUAAACUACAGAGCAUCACUGACUGGGUUCAAAAUGAGAGCUGGUAGGUAGAAGCCUUGGAGAACCUUGGCAUCUGAUGUUCUGGUUUGACAUUUCCUCUGUCAACUUAAAAGUGUUGCUGGACUUGUUUGCAUCAACAGUGGUGUUCACUGUCCCAUCAGACAUGGAAAUGAAUGCAGGAAAAGAUACUGUCUUUGUGAAAAAUGUCAAUACAAGUCCUUUAAUUGAGUUAUGUUAACUGCAUUCAACUUCUCUGUUCUACGCUUACAGAUCUAUAGAUGUGUUGAAAUGAUGAUGAAAUUGGUUUUAAAAUAAGUAUACCAUUUUUGGCUUUUCUCUGGAGUUUCACCAACUAAAAGGUCCAGUAAAUGGAUGGGGUGUGUUUGUGAAGACAUGCUGCCAGUAAAAAAAAAACCUGUUUUUCGAUAAACAAAGAAAACAAACUCUACAUGCCCUCUUCUAUUUUCUGAUGUAUCUGCCUGAACUUUGGUCUGUCUGUGUCAGAUUCUCAUAGUGGUAAACUGUUACUACGUUUGAAGGGGACUUUGUUCAGACUUGUUUGUUUUUAGGUCUGUUCUCUUGAUUGUAAUUCUGGAUCAAAUGGUAUUUGAAAGGUAAGGGAAUAUUUGACCACCUACUGGAAGAUUCUGGCAGGUUUGGAGCAGUUUUUGCAGUUUGACACUGUGGCUCGAGCAAGCCAGAGCAAAAGUAGAUCGGUAAUAGCACACUCAAAUGUGAAUUAAAAAAUAAUAAUAAUAAAAUAAAAUAAAAAUCAUUCAUUUUCUUUUUCAUUGACAGUAAAGUCAUUGGUCAAAAAUGUAAACAAAUUAUUUAUUUUAUUUAUAUAAAUAAUCCAAAUAUGCAUUAAAUGUUUUUGACAUAAACUGUUUGAAACAUCAAUUGAAUUUAUAAAAGCAAGCAUACAAAAAUACAUUCACGUUGAAUUCAUAUACAGUACUGUACGCUUUGUCCAUAUAUUUGAAAAUAUACAUUUGAAUUAGAUAUGGUAUUUAAUGUGUUGAUCAUAUCUGUUGACGAUAUACAUUUAACUGAUAAUGGCAUUAUAUGUUUUUAUAAAUAGAUAUAUAUGGGCCAUAUGUAAAAAAA
rnacentral:tRNA from 1 species